rnacentral:rRNA from 1 species
GAUGAACGCUGGCGGCGUGCCUAAUACAUGCAAGUCGAGCGAACGGACGAGAAGCUUGCUUCUCUGAUGUUAGCGGCGGACGGGUGAGUAACACGUGGAUAACCUACCUAUAAGACUGGGAUAACUUCGGGAAACCGGAGCUAAUACCGGAUAAUAUUUUGAACCGCAUGGUUCAAAAGUGAAAGACGGUCUUGCUGUCACUUAUAGAUGGAUCCGCGCUGCAUUAGCUAGUUGGUAAGGUAACGGCUUACCGAGGCAACGAUGCAUAGACGACCUGAGAGGGUGAUCGACCACAUCAGAACUGUGACACGGUCCAGGCUCCGACGAGAGGCAGCAGCCGGGAAGCUUCCGCAAUGGGCGAAAGCCUUACGGAGCAACACCGCGAGAGUGAUGAAGGUCUUCGGAUCGUAAAACUCUGUUAUUAGGGAAGAACAGAUUUGUAAGUAACAGUGCACAUCUUGACGGUACCUAAUCAGAAAGCCACGGCUAACUACGUG